CGGUGGGGUUCCCGAGCGGCCAAAGGGAGCAGACUGUAAAUCUGCCGUCACAGACUUCGAAGGUUCGAAUCCUUCCCCCACCNN
rnacentral:tRNA from 1 species